CUUGACCUCAAAUCAGGUAGGACUACCCGCUGAAC
rnacentral:rRNA from 1 species